rnacentral:lncRNA from 1 species
GGGAAAGGUUCGGAGUGCUUCUCCUCAGAGGCUGUUAGUCUGAGGUGGUCAACUGCUUGUAACGUUCGUCGCGCCUCUGUCCCUCGCUUGUGUUAAGGACAGCAAAAUAUCUGGAAGCCUUCUUUAUUCAAAGUAUGACUUCGGCCCUCCUAAAGCGUUCUGAAAACGUACUGAGGCAAGAUGAGGCGGCUGCUUCAGGCGGCAGGGCUCGCAGGGGCAGCAGAUCCAGCCUCACAAGGGAUGCGUCGCCUGCUGCUGCUAUCUUAGCUUUGACAAGGUUAAUGGAAUCCAAUAGCCACCAAAGUUUUGAAGGCUGGUGUGACAGAGAGAAGCAGAAAAUUAAUAUUUUGGUGAAAUACGCACACGGCGCAACCCCCCCUUUUGUUCUACGUUCGAGGUGGCAGUCAUCCCAGUCAUGGGUGUGGCAGGGGGGCAAGUGUCCACCCCCACUAAAUCAAGUAAAUAAGUAAAAAAAAAAAUACUUAACUAAAAGUAUACAUUGUAGAGAGAUUUUGACAGGUUUUUCUGAGCACGGGGUCAAAAGAAAGUAAUUUAAAACAACAGUUGUUGAGACAUUUCAUUUAGAAUCUGCUAGACAGAGCCAGACAGGAUGAAGACAGAUAGGUGCAUAGCUUAAAUCCUGGUUAUGCCCACGAUCCCUGUUUAGUGGUGCUUACUACAUGUAUGCAUAGAAUUGUGCUGCAUGUGUUUGCCUUUUUCUGGCAAUAGGUUAAUGCAGAUUUCCCCUUUAAAGUUACAAACAGCUGACACCUUGUGGCCAUUUGUAUAAAUGACAAGCACCUUUCUUUGGAGCAAUAUAUUGCUCCCUUCAAAAAGCGUAGCUACAUGGUUCAGGCUAUACGUUCUCGUUUGUCUGGUGCCUCUGAUGUUGUGGGUCUGAAUCCAGUGCAGGAGCGUGCAUCUUAGAAUAGGUCCUUUGACGAUAUGGAAACUGAGUGGGCUGGCAAAGAAAAGCACUCUGUCUCUAAAUCACUAGAGUAAAGCAUUCCUGCGUCACCAGUUUGUUGUGCUUCCCUUUUCUAAACUCCGCUUCUUUGCUGCACGCUCAAAAAAGGGAGCCCCUGUCUCAGUACAGUACAUGGGGGAAAAAAUGGAGCAAGCAAGUGAUACAGCACAUAAUGAUGAAGUCAAGCUGAGAGAGGUGUGCAGUAUGGUAAUGGGUGAGAACAUGUGUAAUGCAUGUGUGAUUGAGAUAUGGAUGGAUGGAUGUUGUUUGUUGUUGUUGUUUAGUCGUUUAGUCAUGUCCGACUCUUUGUGACCCCAUGGACCAGAGCACGCCAGGCGCUCCUGUCUUCCACUGCCUCCCGCAGUUUGGUCAAACUCAUGCUGGUAGCUUCGAGAACACUGUCCAACCAUCUCGUCCUCUGUCGUCUCCUUCUCCUUGUGCCCUCCAUCUUUCCCAACAUCAGGGUCUUUUCCAGGGAGUCUUCUCUUCUCAAUGGAUGGAUGUGGGCACAUGCAAAUGUGCAGUUUGUGUGUGUUAAGAAAGAGAAUAUAGUAUGUAGUUCUGUGUGUGCAUUUGUAUGUUUUGGUCAUGUCUGUUUUGGGCAACUAUUGUGGCUACUUAACUGUGAAACUAGUAUUUUACCCUUUCCUUCUGUUCAGCUUUUUUUUUUAGUGUUUUUGUGUGCUGGUGUUUUUAAUAAUUGGAACAAUAUGCAAAUACAUCAUACUCAGAGUACAUCCAUUGAAAUCAAUGAAUUUAAGUUAUUAACCCUAUUGAUUCAAUAGGUCUCAUCUGAUUGUAAAUAAUGCUGGCUAUAACCCUUGGGUUUUAUUAUGGGGUGGGGAACGUCCAGUCUGCAAGUCAAGAGCAGACCACUGGACUCUCUCUAGGUCAUUCCCCUCACCAGCUGUACACCCUCAAAAUGUUUCUGCCUGGUUGGAAUAUUUUCCUGAACUUCGAUCAUGCUUCUUAUUUAAGCGGAUUGAAGGAUUGGGGGGGGGGAGCCUCUGGCUUUUACAUAGCUGGAAUGAAGCCUACUGUACAUAGAUGUGUGUGUGUGUGUGUGUGUGUGUGUGUAGCGGGGGUCCCUAGAGGGAAAUGUGACCCUUGUGCUGAAAAAGGACUCCUACAAUCAUUUUAUGGUAUAUCCUUCCCUGGUAUGAAGGUUGGUCUCUAUAAAUAUUUUUAACAAUAAACAAGCAUACAAAUAAAUCACUGCUGAGAUGUACCCACAAUUGUGAGGCCUGCAGAGAUUAUAAUGAUACAUCUCCAGCUGUUGCCACUGGCUACAGACUACCUGUGACAUCACAAAAGUACGUGGCAGCUGAGUGGAUAUGAAGGUGGGCCUUUUCCUCUUCCCCAACAGAACACAGCAAGCAACAGCUGUGACGUUUAGUCUUCUUCUACAUGGAGGAGGUGAAUAGGCAGAUGGAUGGAGAUGAUCAUCUGGCUGUAGGAUGCUACGGAGCAAUAAUAAGGCAAGUUCAUUUGCAGUGUGGAAUUGUUGCUUGAAGGCAGCUGAUAUCCAUGGGGUGUGAUGUGUGAUGUCUAGUGGUGGACCUAGCAGAAGCUGGCAGAUGUUGGUGGGUGGAAGCCAAUGGAGUUCUCAUUUGGAUGUUGCAAGGCUGAAACAUAGUGAUAUUUGUGGUUGUAAACUGGUUGAACUUCACCUUUGGGAGCUGAUUGACAGAAGCCAGUGGAUAUUUGUGGAUUGAAGUUGGGCAAUGAAUAUGAAUAAAUGGUGAGUGGAAGAUGAGUGGUUGUGUCCAUUGGUGUUCUGGUGUAUGCUUGUGUGCAUGACUGUAAGAUUUUGAAAGGGGUUGGGGCUAGUGGUGUGCAUAUGUGCAUGACUGUGAUGUGUGAAAAGAAACUGG